rnacentral:lncRNA from 1 species
GGAUCUUGUUCGUUUGUAUUGGUUGGUCGAUAGGAAUCGGUUUGUCGAUGGGAAGGAGAGCUCGAACCUUAGCAAUCUCGGUUAGAUCGGCUGCAUCCAAAUUCGCUCUUCCGGGAGCAUGCAAAUACAGAGGCCCCUUCCAUCAAUGACAUUCUCAACAAGUAGUGAAGAGCCCCCUUGGGAAAGGACAUUUGGGAGAGAGACAGAGGUACUCGAAAUCAUAGCCACGUCAG